UACGAAGGGGGCAAGCGUUGUUCGGAAUCACUGGGCGUAAAGCGCACGUAGGCGGAUAUUUAAGUCAGGGGUGAAAUCCCGGGGCUCAACCCCGGAACUGCCUUUGAUACUGGGUAUCUCGAGUCCGAGAGAGGUGAGUGGAAUUCCGAGUGUAGAGGUGAAAUUCGUAGAUAUUCGGAGGAACACCAGUGGCGAAGGCGGCUCACUGGCUCGGUACUGACGCUGAGGUGCGAAAGCGUGGGGAGCAAACAGG
rnacentral:rRNA from 1 species